rnacentral:SRP_RNA from 1 species
GCCGGGCGCGGUGGCGCGUGCCUGUAGUCCCAGCUACUCGGGAGGCUGAGGUGGGAGGAUCGCUUGAGCCCAGGAGUUCUGGGCUGUAGUGCGCUAUGCCGAUCGGGUGUCCGCACUAAGUUCGGCAUCAAUAUGGUGACCUCCCGGGAGCGGGGGACCACCAGGUUGCCUAAGGAGGGGUGAACCGGCCCAGGUCGGAAACGGAGCAGGUCAAAACUCCCGUGCUGAUCAGUAGUGGGAUCGCGCCUGUGAAUAGCCACUGCACUCCAGCCUGAGCAACAUAGCGAGACCCUGUCUCU